UGAAAUUUUGAGAGCACCCAAAACAUUUCAUUUCUCUAUUCGUUAUCUUUCCUUUCUCGUCUUCACACGCGAAGCCCUAAAUCUCUUUUCUUUUCUUUCCUUGUCUCUACACACAGAGCCCUAAAUUUUCUCUGUCAAAUCUCUAUCCUUAUAUCUCUUAAGUCCCAACUUUCAGCACUUGAAAUCUAUUCAAAACCUAACCUUCAACGUCAAUGAGAAUGUCAAAGCUUCAACUCGAUUGGUCCGUCGCUUGAAACCCACCUCUUCAUUUGAAAUCUCAAUGUCGGUUCUUCCAUCCACAAAUUAAGAAAGAAAUGGAAAACGAAAGUGGUGUUUGUAGGAGCCAUCUAGUCAGUUUUGUCUUCAAGAAGCUCUUUUUCUUUAUCUGACGUCAAGUUGAAGCAACCAAGGUUGAAUAUGAUGGAUACUUUUAAAGCUUCACCACAUGAACUAAUUUUCCAAGUAAAAUUUAAUGUUUUUUUUUUUUUUUUUGAGUUAAUUGCUUUUGGGUUUCUUUUUAUAUUAAUUUUCAACGAGUGCAUGACCCUAAAAAUUCAUAACCUAAAAUCUUACAAACAUCACAUUAAAUCAAAAUCUAUCACAUUUUCAACCUUCUAAAUGUUCUAAUCCUUUCGUUAGAAAAGAUGAGGGUCACAAUGGUAGUUGUUUAGGAGUUUGAUAAUUUGUCUCUUCAUAUUAUUGUUGUUUUGACUUGAAGAAUCUGUUUAUAUUAUGUUUCUCAUAUGCAUCAAGACUUCUGUAUUAAAUGGUUGUUGAGUUUACAUUGUAAUUUGGGUAGAAGGAUCGAAUAAAACUUGAAUAGAAUAAGUUAUCUCUAUUGUUCAAUCGACACAUGUCAAAUUUUAACACCCGUAUUAAGGACAAAAGUAAGGAAAUAAGUCCAACGCUACCAAAAAAUUAAGGUUGGAGAUGAAUAUGAUCUUGUCAAAUAAGUUUAGGUUGUAAAACAAUAAACUAUGACUUCUAUCAGUAAAUUGGAUGAGAAAUAAUUUUUUUUAUACAACCAACUGCAAGAAUCCCUCUAAUUUAACUUCAAAAACUUUUUUUUUAGAGAAUUAUUGUGUAUGUUAAAAAAAUACAUAGAAGAGAACAUGUUUGAGAACAAAGAGAAGAAAGUAGUCCAAUUUAGGGCUGAGUUUGAGCAAGUAUUGGUUGGUGUUAUGUGUUGUAGUAUAUUGUUUUUUUUUUAGCAUUGAUUCUAACAUUUGCAACCAUUUUCUUUAUUUAAAACAUAUAGGUAAUAAUACUUUCUUAUAUCAUAAUUAAUGGUGAUAGAGUUUGAUUUUGCCCAACUCUUUUCAUUUACCCACAAAUAUGAUCUCUCAAUGGCAUGGUGUAGUAUUUUAUAAUUUUCGAACCUGCAAUACUUUACAAUUAUGGUAUUGGAAAAUAUUGAUAAGAUGGAAUAAUAGUAAGCACGGUCUCAAAUAAUAUUCUACACUUGAAAUGUUAACUUGGAUAAGCUUUGAUGUGUGCAUGGGAUAUAUAGAUAUCAAAGUUAAAAAUAUAGAAUUUCAUUUAAGGGGAGUUGCAGAAUCGUGUCAUGUGUUUUCAUGUGUGCUAUAUUUGGUUGCAAAAACAACAGUAGGAUUUCAAAGCUAGUAGUUUGUCUUCAUGGUCUGAUUCUCUUUUUCCAUUGAGCUACUUGUUUUUUGACUUGUUUGUUUAUAUGAAGGUUUGUUCAAGUUUUUUUUUUCAUUGAGAACUGGAAACAUAGAUGAGGGUCGAAGAUGACUACCAAAGAAAAUAGCAAUUUGUUCUUGUGACAAUUGCUGUACUUGCUUCCCUGCACUCGUUUCUUUUAAAAUAAGGACUCUAAGAGCCUCAAGAUUUGAAAAAAUGGGCCUCAUUUGGUAAAUUUUUCUUUUUCCUUUCUCUCUUGUAUAUGCCUUGAAAUUGAAAAAAAGAACAUUUUGAAUUCCUCAA